UACCCACCUUUGACAUGUACGGAAUCCUUUAGAGAUAGAGGAGUGCUCGAAAGAGAACCGUAACACAGGUGCUGCAUGGCUGUCGUCAGCUCGUGUCGUGAGAUGUUGGGUUAAGUCCCGCAACGAGCGCAACCCUUGCCAUUAGUUGCUACAUUUAGUUGGGCACUCUAAUGGGACUGCCGGUGACAAACCGGAGGAAGGUGGGGAUGACGUCAAGUCCUCAUGGCCCUUAUAGGUGGGGCUACACACGUCAUACAAUGGCUGGUACAGAAGGUUGCCAACCCGCGAGGGGGAGCUAAUCCUAUAAAGCCAGUCGUAGUCCGGAU
rnacentral:rRNA from 1 species